rnacentral:misc_RNA from 1 species
GAAAUCACCGGCCUAGCCGGUUUAAAAUUCUAUCCACCCUUGUGUGCAAAUAAUGGAAAAAGAGAGAAAAUUGGUUACUUUUUUGUAUCCAACUUCUCUAAAAUUCUUUAUAAACUCCAUCAAAUUUUGAAUGAAAACAUUUUUUUUUUUUUAAUAAAAAAUAUUAUA